rnacentral:lncRNA from 1 species
AUGGGCCGAGGUCUGGCUCAGGCUGCCUUCGCCCUGGUGCGUGGAUCUGCGGCGCUGCCAAACCCUCCAGCGACCUACCGCCGGCGGCAAGGCCACCGGCCACCAGCCUGCCCGGUCUGCGGGGUCUCCACCGCGCCACACCCUUUUCCACUCUGUGGACGUGCCUUUCGGGAGGACGAUCUCUGGGGCUCAGCUCGCUCUCCGCCCCAAGGUGACGGGCGGUGGAAGAUGGGACACGGCGGACCCCGGGGAACCGCCUGCGAGCCUCGGGGAGUCGUAGCGGCCACGCGCAUGCGCGUUGGCUCGAGGGCGGGUCCGGUUGCCAAAGAAACACGUUUGCGUCAUCGAACAGAAAUACACAGAAGCAGUCUGAUGUCUGCACUCGUCUUCAGAUCACCACCGGACAGCCAAGCCAGCCUUCAGUCCCAUGGGAUUAACAGACAUGCCAGAAAAUCGGGAGUUAAAAAGAGAACGAAUGGGUCUUCAAGGCUGUAGGAUGAAGAUAGCAUAGCUGGAGGCCGGAGUCCGGGAGGCAGGCUGACCCUGAGAGACCAAGAAGUCAGAACCAGAAAGACAGGGUCACCAAGCCUCUGAGACAGCCAAUACUCUGUCCUGCUCUGAAAAUAUGACCAGGGCCUCUCCCUGCCAUAGCACAUGCCUAGAAGGCCCAUUCCUGGGACAGGGCCACAUUGGCUGUAUCAGCUUACAAAGUCAGCCCCGAGGUGGGGAGUACCAUGCGACUCUAAGGCUCCCUGGUGUGUGCCAAGGUGUGGUGGAGCGCAGGGCAGCUGAGACCCCACCUCCACAGGCCGUUAAGAGGUGGCCCCAUGCCCCUUUGUCCUUAGUUGGAGUCAGCCUGGAGCUACUGUCCUCCUGGGCUUCCUUUUAGGCUCCAGCUUACAGCUGAGGGGCCUCAUUCCUGUGUUACUUGUGCUUUUGUGAAAUUCUGAUACAAAGAACCCCGGGAGGCCGCACUGGGGAUCUGCCCCUGCCCGCCUGGGCAGCUAGCCUCUGUCCCCACACAGUGUCUCCUCGGGUUGCGGUCCAGCCUCCAGUCCCCCUCGCCUGUCUCGCCCCUGGGCCCUCGAGGUCCUGCUCCUCACCUCACACCUCAUUUCCAAGAUGUCUGCACCUCGACAUCCAAU